UAUCAAGUUCAUGUCCAUAUGUUGUUUUAUGUUAAUAUAUUCUAUUUCUAUAGAUAUUUUCAUUUUUAGUGGUUAAUAAUUUGAUGGUCAUCUACCAAUUUAAUGCAAUAUAAUUUUUUAAUACUUUCAUUGUUUUUUUGAAGAUCUUGUAAUUUCACAUAGUUUUGAACUAUCAAUUUGAGAACACAAAACCUGAAAGCCAGAGAUUUUAAACAAUACAAUAUGCUCAAAUUUAUGUGUACAUGUUUCUAUUUGUCUUAUUUUAUUUUCCUCCCAUUUUUCCAUUUUUUUAUGUUUUCUUCUAACUUUUGAUUGCAACAUCAAAACUUGUGUCAAAAACUGUCAAAACUGAAACUUGCUUGGCUUGACCCGAAGUGAGUUUUUGAACCUUGAACUGAUCUUUUGGUAAUCUGUAGGCCAACAGGUUGGAGGGCAUUGAACAAAGUCUAGGAAUACAGUGGAAAAGUUCAUCUUACCAUGAUAAUUCUAUUUUAGAGAGUGACUUGCAAUUUUUUGCUAGGGAAGAUUGCAUUUUCUUCCUUCAAACCUGUCAUGGUGCUACUUAACAAAUUCUAGUGCCUAUGAAGGACAAGGAGGCGAGAAGUUGAAUGCUUGUUCUUGUCCGCCUUCUGGUGUUUGUGGUGG
rnacentral:lncRNA from 1 species